UUAAAACUUUGUGUGUAAUUUAACACACAUUUGAAAGGUACGAGCAGUAAUUUUUAUCAUCUAACUGUCGCAGAACGGCAGCGUUAUUAGCCGACCCGUUCACUGAAGAAUAUAACUACAGUCAACGGCUGUCCAUCGAAGGCCCUAGCCGCUUGAAUCUGGGAUUGGCAGGAAAGAUAAACUAGCCGGAUUCCUCAGUCUGGAAACAACCGCGCAGUAGAGAGGACGGAUGAGAAUCGCGCUCCGCAGAUUUCGAGUGCCGGGUUCUCAGCCUCUUGGAUCCUGCGCUCCGGGUCCGCUUUCUGGUGAAACUCGACUGCCGGGACAAGCGCUACGUAGUUUCUGAGCUCCAGGUCCGCUACCUGGUGGAACUCGACUUCCAGGACAAGCGCUCCGUAGUUUCUGAGCUCCAGGUCCGCUACGUCGUGAAACUAGACUUCCGGGACAAGCGCUCCGUAGUUUCUGCGCUUCAGGUCCGCUACCUGGUGAAACUCGACUUCCGAGGUAUAACUCGAGGUGGUUAUCGGUGGUUGUUGGAGGUGGUUGGCGGUGGUUUGAAGUGGACGAGGAGGGGAACGAGGAAGACGAGGAGAACAAGGUGGACGAGGAGGACGAGGAUUUGUGCUCGGUAUAACCCGAGGUAGUUCGCGGUGGUUCCGGGUGAUCGAGGUGAGCGAGGAAGAGGACGAGGAUGACGAGGACUUGUACACUUUCUGUGCCCCACCUAGUGAUCCACUA
rnacentral:lncRNA from 1 species